GAAGCUUUAGCUUAAUUAAAGUGUCUGCUUUGCAAGCAGAAGAUGUAGGUGGGAUUCCUGCAAGUUUUA
rnacentral:tRNA from 1 species